GCAUACACGGGUGAACUCCUGGUGGGGCUUUGAGAGAUGAGUAUAUUGAUGGGCAGGUAGCAGCAGAGGAAGAGGGAAGAAAGAGCUCAGAUCAGGGUUUGUUGGUGUCAGCGAUAUCGACCUUUUAAGCUGGCUCACUACUUGUUCUGGGGUCUGUCCUACGCACUGUAGAAUAUUUAGCAAAUUUCUUGUCUCCACCCACUAGCCACCAGUAGCACACCCCCCCUCCCAGUUGUGAUCAUCAAAAACGCCAUCACACAAAUGAACUUAUCUACAAAACAGAAACAGAGACAUAGAGGAGGCUCUGCUCAUUUUUAACUCUCCCCACAGUGUUCCUGAACCCUCAGGAAACGGCAAUUGGAGAUAUUCACUUGCCACUCGCCCCCUCUGGAAGGGGGUGCAUCUCCCACCUACUGCUCCUAGAGGGUCUUCCAAGGCCUCUGUCUCCUAAUUGUGCUAAGACUUACUUGGGGAGCUGUUAGGACGCAGCUGUUGAGCCACCAUUCUUGCUUCAGCUUUCCAUGAAUGCUUUAAAGCAGAAACCAAAAACAAAUGUUUGAGACCUCCUCAAGUCUCUGACUUUGUCACCUAGCUCCACGUGGUUGCCAAAAGCUGUGCUGCUUUCUCUGUCCCCUGGAGCAGCUGCAGCCUCUGGGCUGCUGCACACGGAGUCAGCCAAUGCCCCCCCNCGGUUCUCCUUCUAGUCUUGACUGUCCAUUCUCCAGAUCCUUCAAGUAGAAGAGUUACUGGUUCCUAGCGGGUGGGAGCACUGGUCUGCUCUGGACACUCUGAAUACGAGUGAAUACAAGUCCAGGUCAGGGUCCUUAACUGGAGUAGACUGAAUGGAUUUCUGAGGAGAAAUUUUUAUGCAUAGAAGACAACUUUGCUGGGUAGAUGCUCAGACCUCUUUCUUGUUAUUAUUAAUACUGACAGAGAUUACUCGCAGAACUUAGAAAAAAAUCAAUACAAACUUUCAUACAGCUUACAACCAACUCGAGGACUCAUAAUUUAAGAAUAAGAAACCCUGCACGACUAUAUACAAAAUAACCAAUAAGGAUCUACUAUAAGCAGAGGGAACUAUCUAUGUUCAAUAUUCUGUGAUAACCUAGAAGGAAAAAGAAUCUGAAAAAGAAUACAUAUGUAUUCUGAAAAAUAAGUAUAUCUUCUGAAAAAGAAUACAUAAAGUAUAUAAAUACAUAUAUACAACUGAACCAUUUUGCUCUACACCUGAAACCAACACAAUAUUGUAAGUCACCUAUACUUCCAUUAAAAAAAAGGAAUAAGAAACCUCUGAAGGGAAGCUAAUUCUUGUGGAGGAGAACAGUGUGUCUGUGUCACAUAGUGUGAUUUAGGGAGGAAGAGCUUUUUUAACUUGGACAUGUAGCUGCGAAGGAAAUGACAGUGUGCAGGGAAAACAACUGAAGAAGGAGUGAGUUGAGAGGGAAAAGGUUUGGUUAAUUCCUUUUUAUCAGUAUGUUGGGUAAGAGAGAUAAAUGCUCUGGCUACCCAUUGUUCAGGUCCAAUUUCCUUUCCGAGCGUCCUGGAAACGCUCUGUGAAACACUUACAAUUGAUGGAAGUUAAGAAAGCAAGCAACUUCAUUUUUUGAUUUAGAAACAAAAAUCUCCUACCGUUUGAACAAUAUUAUUCACUGGAUUUCCUCUCUGCAUCCUUAGGUCACAUCCUGCAUGCCCUUACCAGCCAGUGCCGGAGCUGUGUCAUAGUUUGUUUUUUUAAAUAGUCACUUUCAUUGUUUUUAUUUUUAAAAAUUUUUAUUGACAUAUAGCUGGUUUACACUGCUGCAUCGAUUUGUUGUACAGCAAAGUGACAGUUAUCAAUAGAUACUCUUUUGCAUACUCUUUGCCAUUAUGGUUUAUCACAGAAUGUUGACUAUAGUUCCCUGUGUCAUGGUUUUGUUGGCUCCUACUUGUUCAGUCGGAGAUCCCAUCUGUGCAACCAAUCCCUUGCUUGGACAACAUCAGUCUGAAUCUGGGGGGAGGGGGCACUAAAUAACCAUACUAUACGUUUAAAGUCCAUCAUAUUUUUCACAAAGGAACCAAAAAUCAAUUUCACCCAUGAGACAGUAGCCAAUGGAAUUUUUAAAGGUUCAGAAUAUCUAAAAGAAAUGUACCACUACAUCUUUAAUGGUUUAAAGGUCAUCCUGAGAGGAAGACAAGUGGGAUAGCACUAAGGCAUGUGGUUUACUUUAUUUUAUUUUUUUUUAUUUUUGCUUUUUAGGGCUGCACCCAUGGCAUAUGGAAGUUCCCAGGCUAGGGGUCAAGUUGGAGCUGCAGCUGCUGGCCUACACCACAGCCACAGCAGCUCUGGAUCUGAGAGUAAAAGAUGGUAAUAAAUAGAAGCCAAAACAUAAAGGUUUAUGUCUAAUUAUCAACUUUUUAGAAAUUUGUGCACAAAAGAUGACAGAGACUACCUGCAAUAUCCCCAAACCGGAGGGGAAAAAAAAAGUGUCCAUGAACAAGUGGAUCAUGUGUCUGCAAUGGGAUAAAUAAGUCAGACAGAGAGAAACAAAUAUUGUAUGUUUUCAUUGAUCUAUGGAAUCUAAAAAAUAAAGUGAAUGAAUAUAACAAAACAAAAAGAGACACACAGACAGAGAACAAACUAGCAGUUACCAGAGCAGAGGCGCCAAACAGGCCAAGGGGAUUAAGCAGCACAAAGUGCUAGGUAUAAAACAAAUAAGUUACAAGGAUGUUACGUUCAGCACAAGGAAUACAGUCAAUAGUUUAUAGUAACUUUCCGUGGAGUAUAAUCUAUAAAAAUAUUGAAUCACUAUCUUCUACACAUGAAAAUAAGAUAUUUUAAGUCAAAUAUACUAAAAAAAUAAAUUUUAUAAAAUUUUUUUCCUUAUGAACAUAGAUGCAUUAAAAAUUAUAAUUUUAAAUUCGAUUUUUCCCAUUGGAUUGGAACUAAUUUUUAACUUUUUCUUUCUGAUUUUCUAUUUGCUUACCCUCAAGAGUAUGUAGGGCACUUUCACUCCUUUAAAUUGGGGGGGAACCUGCUUCCACAGCAGCUAUGGGCAUCCCAGGCUGCAGCUUCCCUGCUUCCCACAGGCCCUGUGGCUGCCUGCAGAAAAGCUCCCAUUCAAAGCCUGCUCUCCUAUUUACAAUAGCCAAGAUAUGGAAGCAAUGUAAAUGUCCAUCAAAAGAUGAAUGGAUAAAGAAGGUGGUAUUUUUAAAAGUACUCAGCCAUGAAAAGAAUGAAAUAGAAAAUUACUCAGCCAUGAAAAGAAUGAAAUAAUGCCAUCUGCAGCAACAUGGAUCGACCUAGAGAUUAUCCUACUAAGUGAACUAAAUCAGAAAGAGAAAGACAAAUAUCAGAUGAUGUCACUUCUACGUGGAAUCUAAAAUAUGACAGAGGAGUUCCCACUAUGGUGCAAUGGGUUAAGAAUCUGACUGCAGAGGUUUGGGUCACUGCAGAGGUGCAGGUUCAAUCCCUGGCCCUCUGCAGUGCGUUAAAAGAUCUGGCAUUGCCACAGCUAUGGUGUAGUUUGCAGCUGAUGCUCAGAUUCAGUUCCUGGCCCAGGAACUUCCAUAUGCUGUGAGUGUAGUCAUUAAAAAAUAAAAUAUGACACAAAUUAACAUAUCUAUGAAACUGAAACAGACUCAUAGACAGAGAACAGACUUGUGGUUGCCAAGGGAGAUGGGGGAGGGAGAGGGAAAGAUUGGGAGUUUGGGAUUAGCAGAGGCAAACUACUAUAUAUAGGAUGGAUAAAUGAUAAGGUCCAACUGUACAGCACAGAGAAUAUAGUCAAUAUUCUGUGAUAAACCAUAAUGGAGAAGGACAUGAAAAAGAAUAUAUGUGUAUACAGAAUCACUUUGCUAUAUAGCAGAAAUUAACACAACAUUCUAAGUCAAAUACUCUUCAAUACAUUUUUUUUAAAGCCCUCUCUCUCUCUCUCUCUCUCUCUCUUUUCAUUAUAGCAGAAAUAGCUAUAUAGUAAAAUUCUCCAGGAUGUUUUUUUCUGGAGAUGGAGAACACAAUAUACUCUUAGCAUGCCAACUGUGGAAAACACUGCUCCAGAUGACAAAAAAUUUUCAAUUGUAUGCAAGGAACCCCCAGAUUAACAAGGGGAGGUUACACAUCACUUGAAAUGUCAUGGGUAUGGUGGAAACAUAUGUGAUUGUCUUCUUUCCAAUUGCCUCAUCGGAUUCUUAUUUUACUAUUAUUAAUUAAUACUUCAUAAGGCUCAUAACUUCCUCCUCCUCCCCCUGCCCCCUUCUCUUCUCCUUCUUCUCCUACUCCUCUUCCUCCUCCUUUUCAUCAUUAUUAUUGUCAGUUAGCUUUAAGAUAGGAUGCAAUGUUUGGUCACUCUUAUAGGAAGCUUUCAGUCUCAAGGUUCUGGCUGACAUUACACACACAACUUGUCUGGUAUGGUAUUUUAUGUCCAAAAUGAUUAUUGUUGUUGUGUCAAUUGGAGGUAGACAUAUCGAACUCAGUUCUCCAUAAUAUGAAUUUGAAAGUGUAUUCUUGGGGAAUUCAAUUCAAUGCUUUACCCUCUGCUUCUCCUAAUUUUUGCUCAGACCAGAGAGGUAUAGGAAAAUCUGACAAAUGAAUAAUGCAUUUUGGGAGGAACCAUUUCCACAUUUCAUUUGGCCUACACAGUAAGCAGAUGAAAGCACAAGGACAGUGGUGAUGUCCUUAUUUCCAGGGCCUUCAAUGAGGCCCAAGCAUGCUGAAUUACUUCACCAAAGUCACCAAUUAACCUAGAGAAGACCCAAGGAUUCCAGUUCAGAUUUUUCUAACACUUAGUACUUUGCAUCUUUUUCAACUAGAUAUCUGAGUGGGCCAAAAAAAGGUUAUCUCCAUGUAAGUAAAUUAUUUGUAGCAUUUUAUCCUGAGUACAGAAAGCUUCAACGGAGCUGAUAUUUCUUAACCUUGUAAAUGCCAGUGGUUAUUUUAUGGAAUUCUUGCCACGGCAUGUGAGAUAAUUAUCAUGAUGUCCAUUUUACAGAUGAGAAACCAUGAUAUAAAGUGACUUGUCUGAGAUUGUGCAGUGUUUGGACAGUAAGGAUGGAACCAGACCCACACCACGUCCUGGGUCAUUUACCCCACAACACUUGGAGGCAAUGCCAGCGAUUUUAUUGAGGAUCAUCAGAGUUAGGAAGGAUGAGACUGUGUUACUCGCCACUCCCUGCUAUAAAUCUUCAAGUCUCAAGUGCUACAAACACAGGUGUGCAUGAUCUAAUAGAAGCAUUAGUGGAACUCAAGAACCUCACAGAAAAAACUGCUAAAAGAUAUUCCUGCCAACAUCCAUUCACAGUCUUUCCCAAAUUUGAAAUUCCAAAGUUUCCCUCAAAAUGCCUGAAUAUUAACAUCUUAGGAUGUACUCUCUUUCUAGAAUGUAUGUCCCGGCUUGUUGGGUCUGUACUACUGCUCAAUAACUGUUGGUUGCUUACACGAAUGAGCUAUUUUUCUGAAAACAGAAAACAUAAAAACUAACACAGUACAAAGAGUAUGUCAAACCUAGUUGCUGAAGUCAAGAACCUUACCUACAAUUAUACAAAAAGCCAUUGUCAGAUCGGAGUAUGAACUUCAGAUUUUUAAUUCCCUGGCUAUUAGCACUAACAUAGAGAGUACUUCCACUUCUGCUAUUUCACAGAAUGGUUUAUAUGUGAUAAAUGGUCAAUAUGCACAUAAACAUGAAUUAAGUAAAAUGUCAGUCACAAGCCUCAUAUGGUUUUCUUUAGAAAAAGAGAGAUUCAUAUGCAAGAUCAUUCUGGGUCAGAUCUCACUAACACUCUGGCCAUUCAUGCCUGUGUCAUUUGCCCCACAACCUGUACAUUUUCAUUGCUGCAUUCAGGACAUAAUGAACAGACUUCUGUUUCACAGAUAAGUUCCCAAGAGAAAACUGCACAUUGUUCAUAAUGCAAUGUUUGUUCCAGUCAAUUUUUAAAAUCUUUCUCUUUCUUCCCUUUCAUAGCUUUCUUAAGUAGCUCUGUGAAUAGAGUCAGAAUGUUCUAUAUAUAAGGUCAUCAUGUAAUUCCUGCAAGCACUUUCUGGAUAAGAACCAAGAUUUAAGUGCUAUGAAAACAGAGUAUUUCAGUUUAUGUAUGGAUUAUGUAAUAUAAUCUUUAAUAGGAUACAACUAAAGGCCAAACUUGUAUUUUAGUCCAUGGCUAAAGAUACACAAAAUAAGUUGUAAUAGCUACAGUUCAAUAUUUUUUUUCUGGUUUUAAAAAAUUAUCUUUCAGGAAUUCCUGUCGUGGCGCAGUGGUUAACAAAUCCGCCUAGGACCCAUGAGGUUGCGGGUUCGGUCCCUGCCCUUGCUCAGUGGGUUAAUGAUCUGGCGUUGCCGUGAGCUGUGGUGUAGGUUGCAGACGCGGCUUGGCUCCCGCGUUGCUGUGGCUCUGGCGUAGGCCGGUAGCUACAGCUCCGAUUCGACACCUAGCCUGGGAACCUCCAUAUGCCGUGGGAGCGGCCCAAGAAAUAGCAAAAAGACCAAAAAAAAAAAAAA
rnacentral:lncRNA from 1 species